CCCGCCCCGCCGCGCUCCAAGCUCCAGACCAGGGAGCUCCCGGGAGAGGACCGGCCACCUGGACAGACUGGGAACCGCGCCCCGGGGCAGGAGCGCGGCUGGCUCCCGCAGUCUCCCGGCCCAGCACCGAGCUGAGCGCGGAGCCCCACCUGAGUCAGAGGGGCUACGGGGAGCGGAGGGACCGAAGGCCGGGGCUUACACGGAGCGCAGGCUCAGUGACGUGGCCCGCCCCGCUGGGCCGCACCCUCGAGUACCUGUGUGGCGGGUCCCCUCACAGUGGACCUGGCCCCCCGCGCACUUGCACUGUUCCACGCGGCCCUGGUGCACGCGGGCCCAACGAUCGCCCGGCUCCAGUGCAAGAGUGCAGCAUGCGGCCGCCGUAGCGGAAUGGGAACCUGCAGGGCUGCCCGGCCUCGGAAGCAGCUCACAGCACCUAGAACUGGGGACGCGCUGCAAACCUGCCAGGGGACCCCAAGAAGAAGCGCACCGGCCUACGGUGUCCGCAGUGCCCCACUGGCUGGGGAGCCCCCGGUGCUGUUGGGAAGCCCCAAGGUGAGUCCGAGGCUCAUGGGAGGAGCACCGCCUAGGACACCCGAGGAGGCAAGCAUCCAGGGCUACCACCUCAGUGGGGAUUGGGGGGCGGUGGGGGUGGCUGCGGUGGUCAGAAGCUACUGCCAGCGCUGGCAUGACCCGGGUUCCUCCCCACCAGUGCACUGGGGCGGGUGGGGCGGACGGGGCUCAGAUGGCCCUAGCAGUGUGCUGGGAGACGCAGGGACCCACCAGUAACCCUGCCCAGGCUCUGGAGCGAGGAGCAGAAGACAGAGGUCGCACUGGGAAAACCGCGUGGGCUCGACGCCUGAGCGGAGUGUGGAGCCGGGGAGGACGUGGCUGGACCACAGGCAGCCAGCAGGCCUGCGCUCCGGGUUCACGGGGGACGAGGUGGAAGGAUCCGUCCGCCUCACGCAGCAGCGCCGGCACCCCCCCACCUUCAGCCAUCCGACCGCUAACCCCCGGGCUCAAGGAGGGGAGAGCCAUGCUCCCCGCGUGCUGUGUCUGCGCGUCCAGCACCGCCCCUCCCCCCCAUCCUGCCCUUAUGCAGCUCCGUCUGCAGACACACCCGCGGCGCCCAAGUGUAUCUAGAGUGGUCUAUUUUCAAAAGCCAGUAUAUUAAAUAAUGAAUUACACGGAAAUGUGCAGUGUUUGCCAUGGAUUAAAAUACAUCUAUCGUUUUCCAAGGAGAAAAUGGGUUUUCGAAUGGAGGAGGAAAGAGUUUCCAAGCAGUCCGAUGGUCAGACGUAGGGUUUAUUUCUCCUGGAGGAGCACAGAUGCAGCCGCGCAGGUAUGCAGGGGAGACAGGGUCGCAGAGCAGGCCACAUGCGAGGAGGCGCCCACCCACACGGCCGGUCCUCCAGAGCCACCCCGCGCACCGAGGCGGCCCACCGCGGCCCGGGGGCCCCAGAGAUGCGGCUGCGGGUCCCGGAGGACCCGGCCCAGGCAGGACUCAGGCAAAGGGGGCCUUCCUGGAGCAGCCCACAGGGAAGGUCCGUGCACCCCAGGAGGCGAGGAGCCGCCCCGCGGGCGUGGCCCUCUGCAGGCGGAGCGAUGUGCCCCCUGAGCCCCUUCUCCAGGAGGCCGGGGGCCUCGAAAUCUAACAUUCAUGCGUCUCGGGACCGGCUCACGUAACACGUCCACGCUUCCAUUUGGCGGAACCGUGCUGACCUCCCGGGUGAGGGAACUCCAGGCCCGCGGGCCCCCACGUGCUCUGACCGAUGUGCAGAGGGGGAGCAGUCCCCCGCGGCCGGACCUGGGGGUCACCGUGGGCCUCGGGCUCUAAGCCACACAGGGCUUGCUCAAGACAAAUUUUUUUUUCAGUCUUGAGAUUAAAAUACUGAAAGUGCUAGUGAUCUAGAUUGUAAAAAUAACACACAUUUUUCAGAAAUCCCCAGGGCCUUGCUUGGUGGUGGCAUUACCGCCCCGGACUGGGGAGAGGAGCAGGGGAGCGCCAGGGCCCGGUGGGGGCGCCACUCACGAGCGAGUGCCCGCUGCCCCCUCCCGCCGUCCUGGCCACUCUCCGACCUCAGCGGCGCUGGGUCCUCAGAGAGGGCGGGGCAGCCAGGACAAGCACGUCACCGAGGAGGAAGCACGCUGCACCCUCCCUCGAGAGACUCCGGGCGGGGGGUUCACUUCCCACCGCCCUCUCG